rnacentral:piRNA from 1 species
UAGCUUCGGAGAACCACGGCCUAC